UGCGGCUGGAUCCCCUCCUUUCUACGAGACAAGCAAUCAGCUUUCAGCAGUCAGCAUUCAGCGAACUGCAAAGGCGAUUGCGACCACCAAAGGCUUAUGGCCACGGUGAGAAAGGCGUCAGGGUUCUGUCACGUCCGCAGGGGUUAAGGGGAAACGGCAGUGAUGAGUGAUGGGUGAUGAGUGCCCAUCGCUCAAGCAGAGAAGCUCAUCACGCACCACCCACCACUCAUCAUGGUUUUUUCCGGGCCUGUAGCUCAGCCGGUUAGAGCAUCCCUCUGAUAAGGGGAAGGUCAGUCGUUCGAGUCGACUCAGGCCCACAGGCACACAACAAGCUUUCAGCAAUCAGCCAAAGGCUAAAAGCUGAUAGCUGUCCGUUCGACUUUCGGGCAGGUGAGUUCAGAGACUGGACCCCCCUACCCGGCAGUUGAGCCAAUGGUUCAGCGCCGGACGCACGUUAACAACUGAAUAGUAGAGCGCAUCGAUAACGUGGAAGAAGAAGCCGAGUAUGUGGCUUUUAGCAAACCGCUCUCAGCUUGUGGCUGUCCGCUCUUAGCAAGACCCCGCAAAGGGACCUGCUGAUUGCCGACAACCAACAAGCUAACAGCUAACAGCUAAUAGCUAACAGCUUAAAAUGUAAAGAAGGCGUGUUCUCCGCACGAGAGAAGAAGUAACAGAAGGCGGACGGGGGAUGCCUUGGCGACAAAGGCCGAAGAAGGACGUGGUACACUGCGAAAAGCGCUGGGGAGCCGUGUGCAGGUGUUAAUCCAGCGAUGUCCGAAUGGGGAAC
rnacentral:misc_RNA from 1 species